GAUGAACGCUAGCUACAGGCUUAACACAUGCAAGUCGAGGGGAAACGAUAGAGAAAGCUUGCUUUUUCUAGGCGUCUACCGGCGCACGGGUGAGUAACGCGUAUCCAACCUGCCCAGCACUUGGGGAUAACCUUGCGAAAGUAGGUCUAAUACCCAAUGAUAUCUCUAUAAGACAUCUGAAGGUGAUUAAAGAUUUACCGGUUCUGGAUGGGGAUGCGUCGGAUUAGCUUGUUGGCGGGGUAACGGCCAACCAAGGCGACGAUCGGUAUGGGUUCUGAGAGGAAGGUCCCCCACAUUGGAACUGAGACACGGUCCAAACUCCUACGGGAGGCAGCAGUGAGGAAUAUUGGUCAAUGGGCGAGAGCCUGAAACAGCCAAGUAGCGUGCAGGAUGACGGCCCUAUGGGUUGUAAACUGCUUUUAUAAGGGAAUAAAGUGAGUCUCGUGAGGCUUUUUGCAUGUACCUUAUGAAUAAGGACCGGCUAAUUCCGUGCCAGCAGCCGCGGUAAAAC
rnacentral:rRNA from 1 species